AUGCAAGGAGGACAUCCAGUGGCGUAUCUCAGCAAAGCAUUGGCUCCGCGCAAUCUAGGCCUCUCGGCGUACAAAAAAGAGUGCCUGGCCUUGCUUCUGGCCGUCGACCACUGGCGUCCCUACCUGCAACAUUCAGAGUUUGUGGUUCACACAGAUCAAAAAAGCCUAUUGAACUUGACAGAUCAACGACUCAAUACCCCGAUCCAACAACGGUUUACGAAGCUAAUAGGCCUGCAAUACACAAUCCAGUACAAGACAGGAGUCACAAAUCGAGCGGCAGACGCGCUGUCGCGACGCGAGCACAAGUCAGAAUCAGAGAUGGGAGCAAUCUCCGUACGUAAACCCACGUGGUUAGAAGCUAUCAAACGCAGCUAUCAAGCAGAUCCAGCGGUGCAGCAACCUAUGACAAAGCUAGCUCUCGCGCCGGACAGCGAGCCCGGGUAUACAUUGCAGGAUGGCAUCCCGCGCUUCCUGGGGAGAGUGUGGAUUGGUGAGGAUGAUGACACCCAACAACAUCUGAUCCGAGCGCUCCACGACAGUGCUGCGGAGGGGGGGGGGGUAUUCGGGGUUCCAUGCCACCUACAACAGAGUCAAACAACUGUUCGCGUGGAAAGGCAUGAAACUGCAGGUCAAGACCCUGGUGCGCAACUGUAUGGUGUGUCAGCAAGCGAAAACAGAGCGUAUAUCGCCAGCUGGGCUCCUUCAACCACUGCCAAUACCUCAAAAACCGUGGUCAGUUAUCUCACUCAAUUUCAUUGA
rnacentral:rRNA from 1 species